GACGAACGCUGGCGGCGUGCCUAAUACAUGCAAGUUGAGCGAUGAAGAUUGGUGCUUGCACCAAUUUGAAGAGCAGCGAACGGGUGAGUAACGCGUGGGGAAUCUGCCUUUGAGCGGGGGACAACAUUUGGAAACGAAUGCUAAUACCGCAUAACAACUUUAAACAUAAGUUUUAAGUUUGAAAGAUGCAAUUGCAUCACUCAAAGAUGAUCCCGCGUUGUAUUAGCUAGUUGGUGAGGUAAAGGCUCACCAAGGCGAUGAUACAUAGCCGACCUGAGAGGGUGGUCGGCCACAUUGGGACUGAGACACGGCCCAAACUCCUACGGGAGGCAGCAGUAGGGAAUCUUCGGCAAUGGACGCAAGUCUGACCGAGCAACGCCGCGUGAGUGAAGAAGGUUUUCGGAUCGUAAAACUCUGUUGGUAGAGAAGAACGUUGGUGAGAGUGGAAAGCUCAUCAAGUGACGGUAACUACCCAGAAAGGGACGGCUAACUACGUG
rnacentral:rRNA from 1 species